UGGGGAAUAUUGCGCAAUGGGGGGAACCCUGACGCAGCCAUGCCGCGUGAAUGAAGAAGGCCUUCGGGUUGUAAAGUUCUUUCGGUAUUGAGGAAGGUUGAUGUGUUAAUAGCACAUCAAAUUGACGUUAAAUACAGAAGAAGCACCGGCUAACUCCGUGCCAGCAGCCGCGGUAAUACGGAGGGUGCGAGCGUUAAUCGGAAUAACUGGGCGUAAAGGGCACGCAGGCGGUUAUUUAAGUGAGGUGUGAAAGCCCCGGGCUUAACCUGGGAAUUGCAUUUCAGACUGGGUAACUAGAGUACUUUAGGGAGGGGUAGAAUUCCACGUGUAGCGGUGAAAUGCGUAGAGAUGUGGAGGAAUACCGAAGGCGAAGGCAGCCCCUUGGGAAUGUACUGACGCUCAUGUGCGAAAGCGUGGGAGCAAACAGGAUUAGAUACCCUGGUAGUCCACGCUGUAAACGCUGUCGAUUUGGGGGUUGGGGUUUAACUCUGGCGCCCGUAGCUAACGUGAUAAAUCGACCGCCUGGGGAGUACGGCCGCAAGGUUA
rnacentral:rRNA from 1 species